UCUCCCCGCCUCCUUUUCUCCGCCGUCCAAUCAGGUCCGGCGAGGGGCACCGAGCCCCGGGAACACGGCGGCUGCGGCCGUAGCACAAACCCCGGCAGCCACCUGAAGCCGUCGUUCCGCUACCCUAACGGUCGCUCGGAAUGCAGAACCUUCGCCCUAGGGAAGGACACUCCCUCUGAGAACACAGAUACCAGGCUGUGAGAAGCCAACCACAUGGAGAUGCUCUGCUUGACAGCCCCACCUGAGCCCAGCUUUCGAGUCAUCCAAGCCCAGAUGCCAAACUGAAUAAAACUCCAGGCAAUCCCAGCACCCAACUGUUUGAGUCACUCAAAAAGUUAUAGACUUUUUCCCAGAUGAGGCCCUAAACAUCACAGACAACUCAGAGGCAAAACUGGAUGUCACCAGUCAUUGACUCAGAAUUAAAUCUUUCUUGCUCAUUCAAGAGUGAGCAAGAAUAUCUAAGUUCAGGGCUGGCCCGGUGGCUCAAGGCGGUUAGAGCUCCAUGCUCCUAACUCCGAAGGCUGUCGGUUCGAUCCCCACAUGGGGCA